AGUGAGAUAGCUGGGUCAAAUGGUGGUUCUAUUCCAACUUUUCCAAGGAAUCUUCAUACUGCUUUCCAUAUUGGCUAUAGCAAUUUGCAGUCCCACCAGCAAU
rnacentral:pre_miRNA from 1 species